AUACGUCUAAUGAGAAAGAAUAGUACGAUGAACGUUUAGACCAGCGAGUUCGGGAUGAUGGGAGCCGAAUCUAAACAUUAUUGGAAGCGCGCUUUUGAAGACGACAAUUCGAUAAUAAGUGGAUGUCAUAUCAAUUAGAGUGGUACCGCGGGCACGUCUCGUCUCUUAC
rnacentral:misc_RNA from 1 species